UAUGCCUACGGGGGGCAGCAGUGGGGGAUAUUGCAUAAUGGGGGAAACCCUGAUGCAGCGACGCCGCGUGGGUGAAGAAGCGCCUCGGCGCGUAAAGCCCUGUCAGCAGGGAAGAAAAUGACGGUACCUAAAGAAGAAGCCCCGGCUAACUACGUGCCAGCAGCCGCGGUAAUACGUAGGGGGCAAGCGUUAUCCGGAUUUACUGGGUGUAAAGGGGGCGGAGACGGCGAGGCAAGCCAGGAGUGAAAGCCCGGGG
rnacentral:rRNA from 1 species